UUUUUUUUUUUUUUUACAAACUUUUAAAAUCUCUCGCUUUAAGAGAAAAACACAUUUCAGCAAAAUACAAUAUUCGACAUAUAUGAGAUACUUCCCAUGGGUUCUUUUCUUCCAGGAGUUGAUCGGUCAUCUUCCAGCAGUAGGUAUGUUCUCAAUUUGAACACCAUCAUAUUUCACAAAUGGACAAAAUUAUGGCAGUAAACUUGAAAAAGUAGGGAGAGUUGCACAUAAGCUACCAGAAAAGGCAGAGGUUGGGCAUUACCUGCAAAUCAUGAUCUCAUAUGUUAAAAUGUAUCUUGGCAUUCAGUAAUUGGAAUUUUUGGAAAUAUCUGUUGCACAGUGAGGUUGGGAGGUCAGAUGAUGCUCAUUUAGAUUCCUUACAGGCUUAAAUUAUUUCCUGAGACUGAGCAGGGGCAUUUUGGGUGAUAGAUUAACUCUUCCAGAACAAGAAAUUCCAUUUCAAUAAAUUAUUGCUCCAGUUCACUAAAGAGUACCAUGGUGUCCUGGAAAAGAACGUCCCUUCCAAAAUUCCACCCCUCUAGUCACUCGAACAAUGGGAAAUUCACAUUUACCAUACUCACUUUGAUCCUUGAAGUCAUAAGCAAAAAAAGAACUGUUUUCCCUCAUCCAGAGGCUGUCUAGAUGGAGAUAUGAUAUUGGAACUGCCCUGGUGGUUUGGCAAACUAUGCCACCAUCCUCAUAUGCAUUUGGCAACUGGCAUGCUUGAUUCUUUCUUUAUAAAUCAGCCUGCCAAUCUUCCUUGAGUGUGGCAUCGUCUAAAUUAAUCAAGAAAUAAAUGACCCUAAUAGGCAAGCUUUUUAUAGCUUGGUAAAUGAAUGGAGAAUGGCAUACCUCAGGAAGAAAUGGAGUAAUAGUUAAUAAAAUGUCUCAGCUGAUUAUGGCCAUCUUUUGAAAGGGAUGAAAGGCAAAUCUUCACAAGUGGUGAGUAAACUAUGAAAGAAGAAUCCUCCUCCCUCUUCCCAAAACCCAACUCUCCAGAAAUUUCUACUUCAGAUAUGAGAUCAUGGUCUGCAGGUCUACUAGUGUCAAAUACCAUUUCAUUCUAGCAGAGCCAUUCAGGAGGCAAAAGGCUAGGGAUAUCUGUGACAUGAACUUAACAAAUGAUGUGAGAACAAUAGCUAUGCUUAUCGCAAUUGUUUUCCAUACUCGAUCUAUUGAUACUCUGCCCACAUGAAUGCAAUUGAGAAGACAUGAAUCAUUCUAAUAGAAACUCAGUAACCUCAAGGUAGGACAAAGCAAACUUCAUUUACUAAAAUAAAAUUUGGUUAAAUGGUUUUCAUUUUAGGGGCAGUUCUUUCCCUUAAUAUCCUGAUAAACUCCUUAUUCAGAAAGUACAUUUGUUUUGUCAUUUUGUUACUUCAUUAAUCUAUUGACUUCAUUUCCAAAGACUGUAACCAGAAUUAAAUGGUCUGUAUCUCUUUUCUGAACCUAACUGAGUCCAGGAGGUUUUUCCUUUUCUUCCCCCAUUCCUCAGAUUUUAAUAUUUUAGAUUCAAUUAAAAUAUACAACCAAAGUUGAUGGGAAACAGUAGCUCUCUUCCAGGUAAGAGAGGUUACUAAAAGAUUUUAUAGUCACUGGACAUUUGUUCAGUCCUACCUGAAAAUUAACUUAUUUUACUGCUUGGCAUGGGAAAAGGCAUUUUCUAGUAAUUUUCUGUGACAGGAAGCACAGCAUUAAUAUUAAUCCAUGUAAGCACCCAACAGACUAAAUCUAUCUGCUGGGGAGCAGUUUGACAUGUUAACUCAAUGAAAACAUUUACUUCGGUACUUUUUAGGAGAGAAUUCAGCAGCAGUUACAGUUAAUAUGCCACCUUGGAGAGCUACGAACACCCUACGUGAUGGCCAACCGAGGAACACUUUCCAGGUCACAAGAACAAUGAUAUUGCAAGAAGCUACAAAACAAUAUUGCAGUAGUUAUAGUAACCACUACUGUAGUGAUCAUGGCCUGAUCAAUGUGCCAAAUAUUAAUGCAAGGAGCACACUAGACUUUAUAGGAUUAGGAUAUUUUCCUUAUGCUAAGAACCAGUUGGUGGUGCAUGAUGACUGGUGAUGAUACAUUUAUUCUGUUUCAUUCUAUGACGCCUCCUAGUUAGAUCUCCUUUCUCCUACAUUAAUUAUCUGUAUUCCAUGGCAGUAUAUUUUCAUCAUCUAAAAUGAGAGCACUAUAACUAUGGUAUUUCCCAGCUGUCUUUCACACACACACACGUACACACAUGCACGAUUACACACAUGUAUGGACAAUAUGUAUAAAAUGCUCAUUUUCAGUGGGUAAGCUCUCUGAAGGCAGUCAAAUCAGCCUUCCCAAAUAUAGAGAAUCAUUCAAUGCCGAUGAAAAGCCUUAUCAACUAUUUAGCUCCAACAUGAAAUUUUAACACUUGUCCAUGCAGUGAUUGAUUUAAAUGCCUUUUGUGUUUUUUUACUAAAGUCAUCCAAAGCUGGAAUCUCAAAGUCUGACAUCAUAUGUAGAAUUGAAUAGGCUCACAUCUCUGUUUUUCUUCUUUUUUCACACAGUUGACUAAAACCCUUGCUGUUGAAACAUGAGUUGACUUUGAAUUGCCAU
rnacentral:lncRNA from 1 species